CUGAUUGAAUGAGAGGUGAAGUACAAAACUAGCCCAUGCAGUGAGGUCGACUUAGACGUUAAAUCUCAAUUUUCUAUGGGAUGAAAACGGAAAAGCAAUCUCCGUCCCACCCCUAAUUGAACUAGUGCUUUUAGACAACGUGUCGUGAGAUCUCCUUGUAUCCUAAACAGAUGUGGUUUCACUUUUCAGAUAUAAAGUGAAAAAUCUCAACCGUCCGAUCGUCAUAUAAACGCUUCAGUUUUUGACUGGUGGUGCUGCUCUCCUCCUCCAGCAGCCAUUUGAGAGAGAGAGAGAGCUUUGACGCCCGUUUUCGACAUCAUCUUCUGAUAUACCCAAUAACGACCACUGGCGACUGGGAACCUCGCGGAAAUCGCGGGGGCGAAGGGGUGCGACGAACCUGACUCUGCUUUCAUCCUUUCCUGGUCGUUUUCGUCGUCGAUUCAUUCAUUUCGCACUGCCGCAGAACCCAAUGGGCCCCUGUUCCGCCAAAAGAGAGAAGUUCCUAGGCACGUGAUCUGUGGCGGAACGCUCUUCUUGGCGUUGCGAAUGCAUGGCAAGUCUCUGUUAAAUAUCCGGCUGCGCCUCCAGAGACUAUCCAACACUCGCUGGUGAUGUGGCGGCAACCACUGUGGCAACAGUUUCUCCUUGUUGUUUUCCCAUUCUUUCUCGGCAGUAGUUCCUUCUACUACAAAAAUAUAUCAGGUACCAAGUGAUGGAGAUGUUAUGAUGGCGAAGAGAAAGGCUGAAGAGCAUAUUGAAUUAGAAGGGAAAAGGAAAAAGAAAAACAAAUUGGUUACUCCUCGUCCUGCUUGCUCAUGGGUGCACUUUAGGUAAGUACACUUUCUCAGGAUUAUUAUUUCCUAGUUUAAAACAGAUUCAUCUCUGGGUUGCUUUUAUUUGCUUAUAUACUUGUGUCUACAUCAAAUGUUUUUAGCCGAGAGUUUAUCAAGGAGUACAGUGUUUCACAUCCUGAGUCCUCUGGCCUUAAAGCUGUGAGCUUCCUUGUUACCUUUGAAAAUUGAUAGACAAUGCCUAUAAUUUAUUUUUGGAGGCUACAAUUGACAAUGACUUUUGCCAUUUCAGGCCACAAAGGCAGCAUCAGAUGCUUGGAAGUUAAUGAGCUUGGAGGAGAAAGCAAAAUAUACUAGGCGUGCUCGUGAAGUAUGGGAUAAUUACUUGAGUACGGCUCCUGCUCGUGCCCCCAAGCCAAGGAAACAGACUAAGCUAGUCACAAGAUGCUCUCCUGGCCGCUUAUUUAAUGUGCUGCAGUGCCUUACCACAGAACAAAAGGAUGCAGUGAAAAGCAUGGGAUUUGGCAGCCUUCUUGGCCUAAGAUGCCGAACACUGCGCCGAAGCUUAUGCCUUUGGCUAUUGCAGAGAUUUGAUACUUCAGGCCGUAGCUUGGAGAUUCGUGGGGAGCGCAUUCCUAUAUCCCCAAAAGAUGUGGAGUUUGUGAUGGGAUUGGCAGCUAGUGGGAAGGAUGUUGUUAACUCAGGGCCUGAUGAUUUAAUUGCUGGCCUACGUCGAAGCUAUAAUGCUACAAAUCGUGGGAUUUCAGUACGCCUUCUGGAAGAGCGGUUGAAAGCUCCAGAAGCAGGAGAGGAAUUUAAGAGAUCAUUUGUCCUCUAUGCGUUGGGCACUCUUUUAUCCCCAACAGCAAGGCUGGAUGUUAGUCCGUCGUUUCUCCACUUUCUGACAAAUAUGGAUGUCAUCCAUCAAUAUAAUUGGGGAAACUUCUUACUUGACCGUCUAGUUCGGGAGGUAUCUCGCUUUCGCCAAGGGAAGCAACGUGCGGUUGGUGGCUGUCUUUUGUUUCUUCAGGUGAUAUAGUUUUGUACUUGUGUUCAGAAAUGCCUGCACAUCAAUUGUAAAUCAACUGAAAAUUUACUGUUUCUCAGCUCUUUUAUUAUGAGAGCAUCUCAAUUGUGGGACCUGGUGCUUUAGUCCCUACACCGAUGCCAUGUUUAUCUUCAUGGGGUGAGGAGGAGAUUACUGAAAGAGAAAAACGAGAAAGAGACCUUGGUGGCUAUGGUUUUGGAGAGGUGAUAGGUAAGGAUAGAUGCACUAAUAUGGAGUCAUCAGAGUAUAGGAGCCAUAUAGAUUGCUUACCAACAGGGAAAACAAGCACUGGGGUUGCACAUGGCUCUGUCUUUGAACAGGAAGGAGACAAGGUAGAAAUUAUAAUGCCACAAUGGUAGUACUAGUUUUUAUUAUAUUCAUAUGUUUUGGACCUUGUUAUUCCCAACUUCAACAAGUUCACUUGGAAUAUUUUAUCCAGUUUCCAUAUCAAAGUCUUUAUGUAAUUAAGUUGCAUUUCUUUGUAUUUCAGUCCUUAUAUUAUGGGCAGAACCUUCAGUACUGUAGAUGCUGUAAAUAAUAGUUGCAUAUGAAUUGCUGGAGAUUGGAUGAACUAAAAAAUUAAUGGUAUGGAUAGUUUCAUUCAAUCCUUGUCCGAUGUAGGCUGACAAAUAAAGAAUGAAUCAGGAUAUUACUGUGGAAGUGGUAAUCAGUUUUUUUUUUCCCCCUUACCCCUUGAUGUUGCUUUAGCCUUGCUGUUUACCCCUCGUGAGCAAGUAGCCAUGCUCUUGGUAGUGAGGAGCUAAGAAUUGUUAAGAUUCUUGUUCCCACCUAUGUAUUGCAAUCAAUAAAUUAGGAGCUACUGUUGAGUCUAAGCUCUAAGCCUAUGUCUCAGCUUCGCCUCCACUAAUAUCUUCCAGGAGUAUAACUGAGGAAAAUAAGUUUAACAUGCUCUCAUUCUUCUAAAGAUUAUGAACUUGGAAAGAAAGUUCACUCUAAAACUGGAUGGCUAUUACAAGACUUGCUUUUUUAUUUGGAACUUAGAAUAAUCCUAUUUUGGUGGUAAUCAGAAAAGUAUAUCUAAAUCCAUACUAGCUAACGAUAACCUAAACAAAACCAAAUAUUUUGAGGAUUUACAUGGUUUAUAAUGAAACACAACUCGUAAGUAUGAAGUUAAAAGUAUUUACCCUCUCUUUUUCUCUGCAUGGUUCUACUUUAUGCUGCCCCUAGAAAGUUGAAUCUAUGUUUAGAUGGAUGCAUUCUAAUGGACCAAUUUAAUCUAACAAACAAAAUUAAAACGUAUAAUGGAAUGGAUUUCUAAUACGAGUUUUGACUUGGUAUGGUGACAGAAAUGAUACAGAAAAUAUUUUAUGUAGGACCUGCUGUCUAUUUUAAUUGUUGACUAAUCGAUUUUGGUAAUGGAUAUAUAUUUAACAAUAAUUGACUUUAUGGAUGUCUGUCUUUUUGCAGAUAGACGCGCUAAACAAUCUCAUAAGUAGCGGUCUAGUGUGCAGAGAAAUUGAUGUGGUUACUGAAUCAGCUGGAACGCUAUGCCAAAACAAGGAGUAUGGAUGUAAUGGAAUUCUGGAUUAUAACAAUGAUCAUGAAGAAACAUGCAUCUUUUCACCUUGUGCUUGCCCUCUUCUGAACUGUAACUUCAUUGGCUCAUCUGAGCAAUUGUCAUUACACUUCAGCAGUAAACAUUGGGAUUCUGGAAGGCGCUUCAGAUACAACAGUCCUUUGUCGGUCUCCUUGGGGAUGAAUGAACAAUUCCUUGUUCUUCAAGCAGAAGAAGAUGGUGUUCUUUUUCUCCUCAGCAAGGGCGUUGAGAGUAUCGGGAAUACAAUCACGAUAACUUGUAUUGGGCCAAGCUCAUCAAAGGAAAAGUUCUUGUAUGAUAUUGUAGCAGGUAGAGGAGUCAGCUCUCUUAGAUUAAAAUCAUUGACCGAGUAUUUUCCAGGAAGGGUGGAAGGUUUUCCACCUAUGGAUUUUCUUUUGAUUCCUUUUCGUUUCCU
rnacentral:misc_RNA from 1 species